rnacentral:rRNA from 1 species
GGCUGGUGUACAGGUGGUGCAUGGUUGUCGUCAGCUCGUGUCGUGAGAUGUUGGGUUAAGUCCCGCAACGAGCGCAACCCUACCUUUAGUUGCCAUCAGGUUAAGCUGGGGACUCUAAAGGAACUGCCUACGCAAGUAGUGAGGAAGGCGGGGAUGAUGUCAAAUCAGCACGGCCCUUACGUCCAGGGCUACACACGUGCUACAAUGGCCGAUACAGAGGGCAGCUACCUGGUGACAGGAUGCAAAUCUCCAAAGUCGGUCUCAGUUCGGAUCGGAGUCUGCAACCCGACUCCGUGAAGUUGGAUUCGCUAGUAAUCGCGCAUCAGCCAUGGCGCGGUGAAUACGUUCCCGGGCCUU